UGGUCUUGCUGUUGUGUUAUUGGUCUUGCUGUUGUGUUAUUGACAUUGCUGUUGUGUUAUUGUCUUGCUGUUGUGUUUUGAUCUUGCUGUUGUGUUAUUAGAUCUUGCUGUUGUUGUUAUUGAUCUUGCUGUAGUGUUUUUUUUCUUUCUAAUUUGUCGCUGUGAUUUGGUUUUUCUCUUGUGUUUUUCUGACUUUUCUCGCAGUUUUUUCGCAGUUCACGAGUGUCGCGUUUACGAGUCGCCGUACUCGUCGAUCGAAUCUACUGCAGCACGUGCGACAACGUUCAACCCGAGCACAACCCUCGUCCGUAUGACUCCUCCCUGGAAAGUGACAAACCCCCCAAUGAGAAGCGCCCGUGCUUGUUCAAAUGUUCUAAGCACAUGCAUUAAAAUCCUCAAACCCAAACUCCCUUCCAGUAAACCCGAACUUCAGCUGAAGUGUUAACGGCCGAGGGAAAGUCUCAGGCAGCACAAGUCCCCAGCUCCUUCCCCUUCUCAGUGAGCGCAAUAAUAACCACGCUGGCAGAGACGAAGGUUUGGAUGGCCCUGACCUUGAGCACGUACAUCGUGACUCGGCCCUCGUCCGUGCCCACAGCAGCCGCCGUUCCCUCCAAAAAUUCCCACAUUCCC
ensembl:lncRNA